UACGUAGGGUGCGAGCGUUGUCCGGAUUUAUUGGGCGUAAAGCGCACGUAGGCGGCUUUGCAAGUCAGAGGUGAAAGCCCGGGGCUCAACCCCGGAAUUGCCUUUGAGACUGCAUCGCUAGAAUUGUGGAGAGGUAAGUGGAAUUCCGAGUGUAGAGGUGAAAUUCGUAGAUAUUCGGAAGAACACCAGUGGCGAAGGCGACUUACUGGACACAUAUUGACGCUGAGGUGCGAAAGCGUGGGGAGCAAACAGG
rnacentral:rRNA from 1 species